CGUUACCAAGAAGGCCCUCAGCUUGACGGACAGCGACUUCGCCGUGACGGACGUCAACGGCAACGUGGUGCUUAAGGUGAAGGGCGUCUUCUUCAGCCUCCGCGAUCGGUGCGUCCUCCUAGACGCCGCGGGAAAUCCUCUCCUCACCCUGCAACAGAAGGUCAAACCUUUACCCUUUCUUCCCAGCAACACUGGUAUGCGGUCGCAAUUCUUCUGUGGCUGCUCGACAAGCGCCCUCGAUAGAUUUCAAGUUUCGCUGAAUUCUGUAGAAAUCAGCUUUUGCUUGUUGUUGUGAUUCACUUGUCGCGGAGUAGUGCUUCGGAAAGCAAAGCGGUGGUGAUGAUAAUUACUAUGAUGGCCUCUCAGAUUUUGAGUGCGCACCGAAGAUGGCAAGUGUUCAGAGGAGAGAGCACAGAUUCGAAAGACCUGCUGUUCAGCGUCAAGAAGUCCAGGCUGCUGCAAUUUAAGACCGAGUUACAUGUGAUCAUGGCUUCCAACACCAACGAGGAGGCGUGUGAUUUCAAGAUCAAGGGGAGUUACUUUGAGAGGUCAUGCACUGUUUAUCUCGGGGAAUCCAACUCCAUCGUAGCCCAAGUAAGAGAAAUAAUAAUAAUUAAUUAUCAUCUGUAUUCUCACCAUCUAAUUGAUGAUGUAUAUUGAUUUGAUUUUUCUGUAGAUGAGCCGUAAAUACACUGUGAAGAACGUGUUACUUGGAAAGGAUACGUUCGGUGUGACCGUGUACCCGAACGUGGAUUACGCCUUCGUUGCAUCGCUCAUCGUCAUUCUUGACGAAAUAAACAAAGAUAGAUCGGGGCAAGACUGAGACUGUGUCGGCUGGUGGUAUUGGUUUAAUCCGUAAAGAUUAGACUAUCGUAAGAUUCCUAUCUUUUUAUUUAUAUUUUGAUUAAAAUAAAAUAAAAAUAUAAAAAUUAGAUCGUGUGGUGUCUUUUGCUAUGGGCCCGCCCGUAUAAUUAAUUCUCAGAUGAGUUGACUGUAACGUAUUUUUACUCUGUUAUGAGCGCAUAUAGAAUAUUGUCUCACAUGCUUUUUUAUACUAUCUUAUCUUCUGAAUGAAGUUACUAGCGAUCUAAUAUAAGAAAGAGUACAUCUCGCACCUGAUGCUGAUUUAGCUGCCUGCCAUCCGAUCCUCGUUCGAGAACACGACCACUGUCCUCCCCGACGACUCCAAAGCUGAAAUCUUCAUCAGUAAAUAAAAACAACUACAGCUACAUAAACAAAUCAACUUCGCCAUGGUAACCUUGCAAGUAAACGUCGAAAGAACCGAGUUACCCUGUUUGUGCUGGCUGUGAUAUCGACAAGGAGCACAAGCUGGCUCUCGAGUUCAUGCCGCGCUCCGGAUAUCGGUACGGGUCCAUUAUUGAAUCCGAGUUUGGGACGGUGUUGGUUUGAUGGGAAAAGUGUGCCAUGUAGCUCCUGGAUAGAUCGCCAGCAGUACCAGAUUCAUGAACCUACUACAGGCUUCUUCCUAUCGUCGUCCUCAUCCAAAUCUCGAACAUGCCAGCAGUACCAGAUUCAUGAACCUACAGACUUCUUCCUAUCGUCAUCCUCAUCCAAAUCUCCACGUAAUCAAACAACUACAUGAUUAAUGAUGAUCCUAAUCCAAGGGGUCUAUGAUUAAUCUACCGUAAAUCAC
rnacentral:lncRNA from 1 species